rnacentral:rRNA from 1 species
CAGCGCCACGAGUGGCAAUCGCGAUUAUUGGGCCUAAAGCGUCCGUAGCCGGUUUAGUAAAUCCUUUGUGAAAUCGCCAAGCUUAACUUGGCGGCGCGCAGGGGACACUGCUAAACUCGAGACCGGGAGGAGUUAGAAGUAUUUUGGGGGGAGCGGUAAAAUGCUAUAAUCCCCGAAGGACUACCUAUGGCGAAGGCAUCUAACUAGAACGGAUUUGACGGUGAGGGACGAAAACCAGGGGAGCGAACCGGAUUAGAUACCCGAGUAGUCC